rnacentral:misc_RNA from 1 species
UUAAGUUCAGCGGGUAGUCCUACCUGAUUUGAGGUCAAAUUGUCAUAGAUUGUCUUUACAGACGAUUAUAAGCAGUGCUCAUUCAUGCAAGUCCACGGCGUAGAUAAUUAUCACACCAAUAGACAAGUUUGCACAAGGCAACCAGCUAAUGCAUUUCAGAAGAGCUGAUUUCAAAAACAUGAAACCAGCAACUCCCACAU